rnacentral:rRNA from 1 species
ACUCUCACCAUACACGCGAAAAGAGGACAACCCCGCGGCCGUACCCACACGCGGCGACCUGAAUAUGCAUAAGAGGCCGACAUACGCUGCGGAGGACACCAGGCGCAGAUAAGCUGUUAGUCGCUACCCCGAUCAGCACGAGGCUGGCGAUCAAGGGGGUUGCGACACCUCGCGUCUGAAGGUGAACCCGUACGCCUUCCGCCCUUGGGAUGAGGUAGUCAAGACUAAAUCUCAACGGAAUGUACGUGGGCCGCGCCCAAGCAGAGGAGGGAGGGGUUUAAUUGGAAGCCACGUGAAGAGCCUUGCCAGGUGUAGAGGGCCCUCUGAUUCCUUUAGAAAGAGAGGCGGCCUCCGGAACAGAGGAGACAGGUGGUGCAUGGUUUUCUCCAGCUCGUGUCCGGAGAUGUUGGGUUAAGUCCCGCAACGAGCGCAACCCUUGACUCUAGUUGCCAGCAGGGUGAAGCUGGGCACUAUAGAGUGACUGCCGGUGACAAACCGGAGGAAGGUGGGGAUGACGUCAAAUCAUCAUGCCCCUUAUGACCUGGGCUACACACGUACUACAAUGGCCGGUACAACGGGAAGCGAAGCCGCGAGGUGGAGCCAAUCCCAGCAAAGCCGGUCUCAGUUCGGAUUGCAGGCUGCAACUCGCCUGCAUGAAGUCGGAAUUGCUAGUAAUCGCGGAUCAGCAUGCCGCGGUGAAUACGUUCCCGGGUCUUGUACACACCGCCCGUCACACCACGAGAGUUUACAACACCCGAAGUCGGUGGGGUAACCCGCAAGGGGGCCAGCCGCCGAAGGUGGGGUAGAUGAUUGGGGUGAAGUCGUAACAAGGUAAAUGGCA